CCUACGGGAGGCAGCAGUGGGGAAUAUUGCACAAUGGGGGAAACCCUGAUGCAGCGACGCCGCGUGAGUGAAGAAGUAUUUCGGUAUGUAAAGCUCUAUCAGCAGGAACGAGACAAGACGGUACCUGACUAAGAAGCCCCGGCUAACUACGUGCCAGCAGCCGCGGUAAUACGUAGGGGGCAAGCGUUAUCCGGAAUCACUGGGUGGAAAGGGAGCGUAGACGGCUGAGCAAGCCUGAAGUGAAAGGCGGGGGCCCAACCCCCGGACUGCUUUGGGAACUGUACGGCUGGAGUGCAGGAGAGGUAAGUGGAAUUCCUAGUGUAGCGGUGAAAUGCGUAGAUAUUAGGAGGAACACCAGUGGCGAAGGCGGCUUACUGGACUGUAACUGACGUUGAGGCUCGAAAGCGUGGGGAGCAAACAGGAUUAGAUACCCUUGUAGUC
rnacentral:rRNA from 1 species